GUGAAGCUCGGACGCCAGUUCGGGUGGAGUCGUCGUUGAAAUACCAGUCUGGUCGUGCUGGAUGUCUAACCUGGGUCCGUGAUCCGGAUCAGGGACAGUGUCUGAUGGGUAGUUUAACUGGGGCGGUUGCCUCCCAAAGGGUAACGGAGGCGCCCAAAGGUUCCCUCAGCCUGGUUGGCAAUCAGGUGGUGAGUGUAAGUGCACAAGGGAGCUUGACUGUGAGACCGACGGGUCGAGCAGGGACGAAAGUCGGGACUAGUGAUCCGGCGGUGGCUUGUGGAAGCGCCGUCGCUCAACGGAUAAAAGGUACCCCGGGGAUAACAGGCUGAUCUUCCCCAAGAGUCCAUAUCGACGGGAUGGUUUGGCACCUCGAUGUCGGCUCGUCGCAUCCUGGGGCUGGAGUCGGUCCCAAGGGUUGGGCUGUUCGCCCAUUAAAGCGGUACGCGAGCUGGGUUUAGAACGUCGUGAGACAGUUCGGUCCCUAUCCGCUGCGCGCGCAGGAAUAUUGAGAAGGGCUGUCCCUAGUACGAGAGGACCGGGACGGACGAACCUCUGGUGUGCCAGUUGUUCUGCCAAGGGCAUGGCUGGUUGGCUACGUUCGGGAGGGAUAACCGCUGAAAGCAUCUAAGCGGGAAGCCUGCUUCGAGAUGAGUAUUCCCACCCACUUGAUGGGGUAAGGCUCCCAGUAGACGACUGGGUUGAUAGGCCAGAUAUGGAAGCCCAGUAAUGGGUGGAGUUGACUGGUACUAAUAGGCCGAGGGCUUGUCCUC
rnacentral:rRNA from 1 species